rnacentral:rRNA from 1 species
GAUGAACGCUGGCGGCGUGCCUAAUACAUGCAAGUCGAGCGAACAGACGAGGAGCUUGCUCCUCUGACGUUAGCGGCGGACGGGUGAGUAACACGUGGAUAACCUACCUAUAAGACUGGGAUAACUUCGGGAAACCGGAGCUAAUACCGGAUAAUAUAUUGAACCGCAUGGUUCAAUAGUGAAAGACGGUUUUGCUGUCACUUAUAGAUGGAUCCGCGCCGCAUUAGCUAGUUGGUAAGGUAACGGCUUACCAAGGCAACGAUGCGUAGCCGACCUGAGCGGGUGAUCGGCCACACUGGAACUGAGACACGGUCCAGACUCCUACGGGAGGCAGCAGUAGGGAAGCUUCCGCAAUGGGCGAAAGCCUGACGGAGCAACGCCGCGUGAGUGAUGAAGGUCUUCGGAUCGUAAAACUCUGUUAUUAGGGAAGAACAAAUGUGUAAGUAACUAUGCACGUCUUGACGGUACCUAAUCAGAAAGCCACGGCUAACUACGUG